rnacentral:rRNA from 1 species
AUUGAACGCUGGCGGCAUGCCUUACACAUGCAAGUCGAACGGUAACAGGUCUUCGGAUGCUGACGAGUGGCGAACGGGUGAGUAAUACAUCGGAACGUGCCCGAUCGUGGGGGAUAACUGAGCGACAUCUUUGCUAAUACCGCAUACGAUCUACGGAUGCCAGCCGGGGACCGCAAGGCCUUGCGCGGACGGAGCGGCCGAUGGCAGAUUAGGUAGUUGGUGGGAUCAAAGCUUACCAAGCCGACGAUCUGUAGCUGGUCUGAGAGGACGACCAGCCACACUGGGACUGAGACACGGCCCAGACGCCUACGGGAGGCAGCAGUGGGGAAUUUUGGACAAUGGGCGAAAGCCUGAUACAGCCAUGCCGAGUGCAGGAGGAAGGCCUUCGGGUUGUAAACUGCUUUUGUACGGAACGAAAAGACUCUUUCUAAUAAAGAGGGUCCAUGACGGUACCGUAAGAAUAAGCACCGGCUAACUACGUGC